GUCAUGCAUUAAAAUAUUAAGAAUAAGCAUGUCAAGGAUCAAAAUCAAUUCUUUUUCAAAUAAACUCCCCCUAUUUAAAUAUAAUCUUGCAUUGAUUUCAUCCUUAAGGUGUGUUUCCAAGUGAUUAAAGCUUGACUUGAUGCUUCUUAUAUACUUUCAUUUACUUUGUCAUUUAUUUUUACUUUCUUAUGCUCUAUUCUCUAUUUGCUCCCUAUCCGGUGGAGUUGGAAGGGGCACGAGGUACUACCACUAGCCUCCCUCUUGUGCCGUCCCUAAUAUACCCUACACCGAAUAGUCGGGUCAAAUAGUGCCGGGUACUACCACUAGCCUCCCCAUUGGCACCAUCCCUAUGAUGAGCAGUAUAGGAAGGUUCAAAUGUUCACUUCAAACUUUCCUUGUUUAAGUGUAAUUAAUUACAGAUUUUAUCCCUUCCAAAAGUGCUGAAUAUAUUAUGCUUGUUUUUCUUUUCCUUAAGAUUGGAGUAUUUGCCUUUGCUUAGAUUUUACAUCUCUUGAAUAAUAUCCAUUUUCUUUUCUUUAUCUCUCUUUCUUUUUGUUAUUCUCAAGUAAUUUACAUGAAAGAGCAGAAUAAAG
rnacentral:lncRNA from 1 species